rnacentral:rRNA from 1 species
UACAGAGGUCUCAACCGUUGUUCGGAUUCAUUGGGCGUAAAGGGUGCGUAGGCGGUCGCGCAAGUCGGGUGUGAAAUCCCCGGGCUCAACCUGGGAAUUGCAUUCGAUACUGGAUAGCUAGAGUUCGGCAGAGGGAAGCGGAAUUUCGGGUGUAGCGGUGAAAUGCGUAGAUAUCCGAAGGAACAUCAGUGGCGAAAGCGGCUUCCUGGACCAGAACUGACGAUCAGGCACGAAAGCGUGGGGAGCAAACAGG